GAUGAACGCUGGCGGCGUGCCUAAUACAUGCAAGUCGAGCGAACGGACGAGAAGCUUGCUUCUCUGAUGUUAGCGGCGGACGGGUGAGUAACACGUGGAUAACCUACCUAUAAGACUGGGAUAACUUCGGGAAACCGUAGCUAAUACCGGAUAAUAUUUUGAACCGCAUGGUUCAAAAGUGAAAGACGGUCUUGCUGUCACUUAUAGAUGGAUCCGCGCUGCAUUAGCUAGUUGGUAAGGUAACGGCUACCAAGGCAACGAUGCAUAGCCGACCUGAGAGGGUGAUCGGCCACACUGGAACUGAGACACGGUCCAGACUCCUACGGGAGGCAGCAGUAGGGAAUCUUCCGCAAUGGGCGAAAGCCUGACGGAGCAACGCCGCGUGAGUGAUGAAGGUCUUCGGAUCGUAAAACUCUGUUAUUAGGGAAGAACAUAUGUGUAAGUAACUGUGCACAUCUUGACGGUACCUAAUCAGAAAGCCACGGCUAACUACGUG
rnacentral:rRNA from 1 species